rnacentral:ncRNA from 2 species
AGUGCUUCAAUGUGAACAUUAGGCACCAUAUUGGUGCAAUUUUGUAAAUUUGGCCCUUUUCCUUGUCCGUGAAAGCGAUCACAAAGCAACUCUGCAAUACUUGUUUGC